AGAAUCAACGCUGGCGGCGUGCCUCAGACAUGCAAGUCGAACGCGAAAGUUCCCUUCGGGGAGCGAGUAGAGUGGCGCACGGGUGAGUAACACGUAGGUAAUCUACCUUUGGGUGGGGAAUAACUCAGGGAAACUUGAGCUAAUACCGCAUAAUGCAGCGGCUCGACAUCGAGACAGUUGUUAAAGCGGGGGAUCGUAAGACCUCGCGCCUAAAGAGGAGCCUGCGGCGGAUUAGCUAGUUGGUGAGGUAAUGGCUCACCAAGGCAUCGAUCCGUA
rnacentral:rRNA from 1 species